UACAGAGGUCUCAAGCGUUGUUCGGAUUCAUUGGGCGUAAAGGGUGCGUAGGUGGCGGGGUUAGUCAGGUGUGAAAUCUCGGGGCUCAACCCCGAAACUGCACUUGAUACUGCCUUGCUAGAGUACUGGAGAGGAGAUUGGAAUUUACGGUGUAGCAGUGAAAUGCGCAGAUAUCGGGAAGAACACCCGUGGCGAAGGCGGCUCUCUGGGACGGUACUGACGCUGAGACGCGAAAGCGUGGGGAGCGAACAGG
rnacentral:rRNA from 1 species